rnacentral:rRNA from 1 species
AAAAGUGAAAGACGGUCUUGCUGUCACUUAUAGAUGGAUCCGCGCUGCAUUAGCUAGUUGGUAAGGUAACGGCUUACCAAGGCAACGAUGCAUAGCCGACCUGAGAGGGUGAUCGGCCACACUGGAACUGAGACACGGUCCAGACUCCUACGGGAGGCAGCAGUAGGGAAUCUUCCGCAAUGGGCGAAAGCCUGACGGAGCAACGCCGCGUGAGUGAUGAAGGUCUUCGGAUCGUAAAACUCUGUUAUUAGGGAAGAACAUAUGUGUAAGUAACUGUGCACAUCUUGACGGUACCUAAUCAGAAAGCCACGGCUAACUACGUGCCAGCAGCCGCGGUAAUACGUAGGUGGCAAGCGUUAUCCGGAAUUAUUGGGCGUAAAGCGCGCGUAGGCGGUUUUUUAAGUCUGAUGUGAAAGCCCACGGCUCAACCGUGGAGGGUCAUUGGAAACUGGAAAACUUGAGUGCAGAAGAGGAAAGUGGAAUUCCAUGUGUAGCGGUGAAAUGCGCAGAGAUAUGGAGGAACACCAGUGGCGAAGGCGACUUUCUGGUCUGUAACUGACGCUGAUGUGCGAAAGCGUGGGGAUCAAACAGGAUUAGAUACCCUGGUAGUCCACGCCGUAAACGAUGAGUGCUAAGUGUUAGGGGGUUUCCGCCCCUUAGUGCUGCAGCUAACGCAUUAAGCACUCCGCCUGGGGAGUACGACCGC